GAUGAACGCUGGCGGCGUGCCUAAUACAUGCAAGUCGAGCGAACAGACGAGGAGCUUGCUCCUCUGACGUUAGCGGCGGACGGGUGAGUAACACGUGGAUAACCUACCUAUAAGACUGGGAUAACUUCGGGAAACCGGAGCUAAUACCGGAUAAUAUAUUGAACCGCAUGGUUCAAUAGUGAAAGAAGGUUUUGCUGUCACUUAUAGAUGGAUCCGCGCCGCAUUAGCUAGUUGGUAAGGUAACGGCUUACCAAGGCAACGAUGCGUAGCCGACCUGAGAGGGUGAUCGGCCACACUAGAACUGAGACACGGUCCAGACUCCUACGGGAGGCAGCAGUAGGGAAUCUUCCGCAAUGGGCGAAAGCUUGACGGAGCAACGCCGCGUGAGUGACGAAGGUCUUCGGAUCGUAAAACUCUGUUAUUAGGGAAGAACAAAUGUGUAAGUAACUAUGCACGUCUUGACGGUACCUAAUCAGAAAGCCACGGCUAACUACGUG
rnacentral:rRNA from 1 species